rnacentral:rRNA from 1 species
AUUGAACGCUGGCGGCAGGCCUAACACAUGCAAGUCGAGCGGAUGACGGGAGCUUGCUCCUUGAUUCAGCGGCGGACGGGUGAGUAAUGCCUAGGAAUCUGCCUGGUAGUGGGGGACAACGUUUCGAAAGGAACGCUAAUACCGCACAAGUCCUACGGGAGCAACCAGGGGACCUUCCGAGCUUGUGCUCUAAGCUGAGCACAGGUCGGAUUAGCUAGUUAGUGGGGUAAUGGCUCACCAAAGCUACGAUACGUAACUGGUCUGAGAGGAUGAUCAGUCACACUGGAACUGAGACACGGUACAGACUCCUACGGGAGGCAGCAGUGGGGAAUAUUGGACAAUGGGCGAAAGCCUGAUCCAGCCAUGCCGCGUGUGUGAAGAAGGUCUUCGGAUUGUAAAGCACUUUAAGUUGGGAGGAAGGGCAGUAAGUUAAUACCUUGCUGUUUUGACGUUACCGACAGAAUAAGCACCGGCUAACUCUGUGCCAUCCGCCGCCGUAAUAC